rnacentral:tRNA from 1 species
AACUAGAUGACUGAAAGCAAGUAAUGGUCUCUUAAACCACCUAAUAGUAAAUUAGCGAUUACUUCUAGUA